rnacentral:rRNA from 1 species
AGCGAACGCUGGCGGCAGGCCUAACACGUGCAAGUCGAACGAAGUCUUCGGACUUAGUGGCGGACGGGUGAGUAACACGUGGGAACGUGCCUUUAGGUUCGGAAUAACUCAGGGAAACUUGUGCUAAUACCGAAUGUGCCCUUCGGGGGAAAGAUUUAUCGCCUUUAGAGCGGCCCGCGUCUGAUUAGCUAGUUGGUGAGGUAAAGGCUCACCAAGGCUACGAUCAGUAGCUGGUCCGAGAGGAUGACCAGCCACAUUGGGACUGAGACACGGCCCAAACUCCUACGGGAGGCAGCAGUGGGGAAUCUUGCGCAAUGGGCGAAAGCCUGACGCAGCCAUGCCGCGUGGAUGAUGAAGGUCUUAGGAUUGUAAAAUCCUUUCACCGGUGAAGAUAAUGACUGUAGCCGGAGAAGAAGCCCCGGCUAACUUCGUGCCAGCAGCCGCAGUAACAC